rnacentral:rRNA from 1 species
AGAGUUUGAUCAUGGCUCAGGACGAACGCUGGCGGCGUGCUUAACACAUGCAAGUCGAACGGAAAGGCCCUUCGGGGUACUCGAGUGGCGAACGGGUGAGUAGCACGUGGGUGAUCUGCCCUGCACUUUGGGAUAAGCCUGGGAAACUGGGUCUAAUACCGAAUAGGACCACGCGCUUCAUGGUGUGUGGUGGAAAGCUUUUGCGGUGUGGGAUGGGCCCGCGGCCUAUCAGCUUGUUGGUGGGGUAAUGGCCUACCGAGGCGACGACGGGUAGCCGGCCUGAGAGGGUGACCGGCCACACUGGGACUGAGAUACGGCCCAGACUCCUACGGGAGGCAGCAGUGGGGAAUAUUGCACAAUGGGCGCAAGCCUGAUGCAGCGACGCCGCGUGAGGGAUGACGGCCUUCGGGUUGUAAACCUCUUUCAAUAGGGACGAAGCGUAAGUGACGGUACCUAUAGAAGAAGCACCGGCCAGCUACGUGCCAGCAGCCGCGGUAAUACGUAGGGUGCGAGCGUUGUCCGGAAUUACUGGGCGUAAAGAGCUCGUAGGUGGUUUGUCGCGUUGUUCGUGAAAACUCACAGCUUAACUGUGGGCGUGCGGGCGAUACGGGCAGACUAGAGUACUGCAGGGGAGACUGGAAUUCCUGGUGUAGCGGUGGAAUGCGCAGAUAUCAGGAGGAACACCGGUGGCGAAGGCGGGUCUCUGGGCAGUAACUGACGCUGAGGAGCGAAAGCGUGGGGAGCGAACAGGAUUAGAUACCCCGGUAGUCC